rnacentral:rRNA from 1 species
UACAGAGGGUGCGAGCGUUAAUCGGAAUUACUGGGCGUAAAGCGUGCGUAGACGGUCGCGUAAGUCAGAUGUGAAAGCCCCGGGCUCAACCUGGGAAUUGCAUUUGAGACUGCUCUGCUCGGGUGCGGAAGAGGGAAGCGGAAUUUCCGGUGUAGCGGUGAAAUGCGUAGAUAUCGGAGGAACACCGGUGGCGAAGGCGGCUUUCUGGCCUGAUUCUGACGCUGAGGAGCGAAAGCCAGGGUAGCGAACGGG